AUUGAACGCUGGCGGCAGGCUUAACACAUGCAAGUCGAGCGAGCGGCGGACGGGUGAGUAAUGUCUGGGAAACUGGCUGAUGGAGGGGGAUAACUACGGGAAACUGUAGCUAAUACCGCAUACCAUCAGAUGUGCCCAAGUGGGAUUAGGUAGUUGGUGGGGUAAAGGCUCACCAAGGCGACGAUCCCUAGCUGGUCUGAGAGGAUGACCAGCCACACUGGGACUGAGACACGGUCCAGACUCCUACGGGAGGCAGCAGUGGGGAAUAUUGCGCAAUGGGCGCAAGCCUGACGCAGCCAUGCCGCGUGUAUGAAGAAGGCCUUCGGGUUGUAAAGUACUUUCAGCGGGGAGGCGUUACCGACAGAAGAAGCACCGGCUAACUCCGUGCCAGCAGCCGCGGUAAUAC
rnacentral:rRNA from 1 species